GUGCACCACUUUCUUAAUUUAAGAAAAAUUUAAUUACAAAAUUAAUCAAUUCACUUUAAAUAGGGAAAAUUUUUUUUUAAUAAUGCAAAUUGUGUUAUUAUAAAAUAAUUUGCAAUUUUUCAGGGAAAGCCUUCGAAAGAAUUGCCCGUCGAGGUGGCCUUUUCGGCGUCCUUUUUCGACUGGUUUUCUGUCAAGGGGAGCCGCGCUUAUGGGGAAACUAUUCCCCCACCGGACCUGGAAACGCGAUGAUUACUAUUCACAGCCCCGUCGGUGUUGCCGCUUCAUCACUCCGUCGUUGUACGCGAAAUGUUCCUCGACGAUGAAACGUGUCCACGUGGAACUCGGAGGAAAUGUGCCGUUCACCGUUUUUAACGAUGCCGACAUCGACCUAGCCGUGAGUGGAUUGAUUUCAUCCAAUUUCGAAAUUUUGUACAGGUCAGAUUUCUAAAAAAAUAGUUAUUUUGCUUCAAAAUUUCAAAUUUUAUUAAAUUUCCAUGUAAUUUUCUAGACGUGUAUCAACGCUAACAAAAUUUUAGCCCAGUCACAAAUUUACGACAAGUUUAUGAACAAAUUUCUCCAAGCUGUGACCAAGUUGGAAGUCGGGCCCGGUUUGGAACCCGAUACCGAUGUCGCCACCAUCAUUAACGACAUGCAAAUCGAGAGGGUAAAAAAUAAGGUUAAAAUUUUUUCAGAAAUACGAUUUCUAAAUUUUAAAUUUUGAAAUAAUUUCCAGUUUUAUUAAAUCUUACUUUAUAGUCUGUUAAAAAAUGAAAUUAAUUGCUUUAAAAAAUUCACAGUUGAAUUUGAUAAAGUUUAUUCUUCAAACUUUUUGCAGCAAGAAAAUAUUUCGCAAAAAACAGAUACUCCUGAGAAAUCCGUGACUUGCUUCACAUUUGUUUUUUUUUAAUUCUGACAAAUCGUACAAUCAUUUGCUUUGCUAUUGAUUUGCAUAUAUUAAUUUGUAAUUAAUGGGCAUUCUAAUAACAUAAAGAUUUUAACAGGUGUGUAUGGAUAGUGACAAAAUAGUUUCAUCUUUCAAUCACAUUUUAUAAAUUUUAUAAAUUCAACCAAAUUUCAAAAAUUCUCAGGAGAUAGCUGAUAAAAUUUGACCAUAACAAUGAUUGAAUUUCACAAUAAUUCGGGAACAAUUUCUUGAAAGACUGAUUGAAAAUUUUUAACCUAACAGGAAACACAAAUUUUGUCACAGAAU